AGAGUUUGAUCCUGGCUCAGAUUGAACGCUGGCGGCAUGCCCUACACAUGCAAGUCGAACGGCAGCGGGGACUUCGGUCCGCCGGCGAGUGGCGAACGGGUGAGUAAAGUAUCGGAACGUACCUUUCAGUGGGGGAUAACGUAGCGAAAGUUACGCUAAUACCGCAUAUUCUGUGAGCAGGAAAGCAGGGGAUCGCAAGACCUUGCGCUGAUUGAGCGGCCGAUAUCAGAUUAGCUAGUUGGUGGGGUAAAGGCCUACCAAGGCGACGAUCUGUAGCGGGUCUGAGAGGAUGAUCCGCCACACUGGAACUGAGACACGGUCCAGACUCCUACGGGAGGCAGCAGUGGGGAAUUUUGGACAAUGGGGGCAACCCUGAUCCAGCCAUGCCGCGUGAGUGAAGAAGGCCUUCGGGUUGUAAAGCUCUUUCGGCCGGGAAGAAAUCGCAUAGGUUAAUACCCUGUGUGGAUGACGGUACCGGAAUAAGAAGCACCGGCUAACUACGUGCCAGCAGCCGCGGUAAUACGUAGGGUGCGAGCGUUAAUCGGAAUUACUGGGCGUAAAGCGUGCGCAGGCGGUUUCGUAAGACAGAGGUGAAAUCCCCGGGCUCAACCUGGGAACUGCCUUUGUGACUGCGAAGCUAGAGUACGGCAGAGGGGGGUGGAAUUCCACGUGUAGCAGUGAAAUGCGUAGAGAUGUGGAGGAACACCGAUGGCGAAGGCAGCCCCCUGGGCCGAUACUGACGCUCAUGCACGAAAGCGUGGGUAGCAAACAGGAUUAGAUACCCUGGUAGUCCACGCCCUAAACGAUGUCAACUAGGUGUUGGGUGGGUAAAACCAUUUAGUACCGUAGCUAACGCGUGAAGUUGACCGCCUGGGGAGUACGGCCGCAAGGUUAAAACUCAAAGGAAUUGACGGGGACCCGCACAAGCGGUGGAUGAUGUGGAUUAAUUCGAUGCAACGCGAAAAACCUUACCUACCCUUGACAUGUUCAGAAUCCUGGAGAGAUUUGGGAGUGCCCGAAAGGGAGCUGGAACACAGGUGCUGCAUGGCUGUCGUCAGCUCGUGUCGUGAGAUGUUGGGUUAAGUCCCGCAACGAGCGCAACCCUUGUCGUUAAUUGCCAUCAUUUAGUUGGGCACUUUAACGAGACUGCCGGUGACAAACCGGAGGAAGGUGGGGAUGACGUCAAGUCCUCAUGGCCCUUACGGGUAGGGCUACACACGUGCUACAAUGGCCGGUACAGAGGGCAGCGAAGGGGCGACCUGGAGCCAAUCUUGUAAAGCUGGUCGUAGUCCGGAUUGGAGUCUGCAACUCGACUCCAUGAAGUCGGAAUCGCUAGUAAUCGCGAAUCAGCAUGUCGCGGUGAAUACGUUCCCGGGCCUUGUACACACCGCCCGUCACACCAUGGGAGUGGGUUGCACCAGAAGUAGAUAGUCUAACCUUCGGGGGGACGUUUACCACGGUGUGAUUCAUGACUGGGGUGAAGUCGUAACAAGGUAGCCGUAGGGGAACCUGCGGCUGGAUCACCUCCUU
rnacentral:rRNA from 1 species